UAACUCUUAAAACUGAUUUAAAUUAGAUGC
rnacentral:piRNA from 1 species